AUCCUUUUGUAGUUCAUAAGCGUGAUGAUUGGGGUUUCAUGCACAUGCACGAGAUGUGCCGCCCACAAAUCUUGUUACGCCUUUGGUACAUUACCCGUCUGACU
ensembl:snoRNA